ACAUCCAGAGAAUUUAGCAGAGAUGCUUUAGUGCCUUCGGGAACUCUGAGACAGGUGCUGCAUGGCUGUCGUCAGCUCGUGUUGUGAAUGUUGGGUUAAGUCCCGNAACGAGCGCAACCCUUAUCCUUUGUUGCCAGCACGUAAUGGUGGGAACUCAAAGGAGACUGCCGGUGAUAAACCGGAGGAAGGUGGGGAUGACGUCAAGUCAUCAUGGCCCUUACGAGUAGGGCUACACACGUGCUACAAUGGCGCAUACAAAGAGAAGCGACCUCGCGAGAGCAAGCGGACCUCAUAAAGUGCGUCGUAGUCCGGAUUGGAGUCUGCAACUCGACUCCAUGAAGUCGGAAUCGCUAGUAAUCGUAAAUCAGAAUGUUACGGUGAAUACGUUCCCGGGCCUUGUACACACCGCCCGUCACACCAUGGGAGUGGGUUGCAAAAGAAGUAGAUAGCUUAACCUUCGGGAGGGCGUUUACCACUUUGUGAUUCAUGACUGGGGUGAAGUCGUAACAAGGUAAGCGUAGUGCU
rnacentral:rRNA from 1 species